UCAUCGGGUCCAGUUCCUUUCUGAGCAGUAGUAGUGGUUGUGUUCUGAGACUAACGUGGAGUUUUGUUGCAGUACCCAGAGUUGGCGAACCAGUAGAGAGGCUUACUGUGUUUUUGUUAUUGUUAACACUCAUUACAGAUGCCUCGUGCAAAGUCUCAUCGCCGGUCUGCAGCUGGAAAGAAACGAAUGGCCGCCGCUCAGACUCUGCGUUUAGGGACAUCAAGGCCUUCCAGCGACUUUGUUCCACGGCAUGGUACUGGCUGGCGCCAUGCUGUAAGGCCGUGGCCAGCUACUGAAGUGACCAACCACUGUCACAAGCUGGUCAUUCUAAAC